GUUUGAGAGACCAUAAUAGAAUGUAAAGCAUUCAUGAUAUCAGUGGUCAUGCAAUCCAAGAAUAAAAGUGUGAAAAAAGUUCAAUUACCUAGAAUCUAAUACAGAGAAAAUCCCUCCUGGGCUAAAUGCAAAACUAUGAAGUAGUAAGAGCUUCAUCAUUUUGUUUCUCUUUACUUAGAAAACCAUUUAAAACCAACCUAAUGACAAUUUCACUCUGCUCCUUUUACUUAGAGAAGGGAAAAAAUUGUGGUGAUGGCAAUUAUCUUAUAGGCCCAAUUCUUGCUAUAGAAAUGACAAACAACAUGGUCGCUGGCUUUAACAAUGAAGAAGAAGUCCUUCUCAGAAGGGAUCUCAAAGUACUCGCCAUGGCUAAGGGAGAUCCAGCGAUUGCGCUUCUCCGCCAUUUUCU
rnacentral:misc_RNA from 1 species